rnacentral:snRNA from 1 species
CUUACUGCUUGUGAGCCUAAGCUCAAGUAUCUGUUCUUAUCAGUUUAAUAUCUGACGUCCUCUCUAUCUGAGGAUAAUAUGUUGAAUUGGUUUUGUAACAGAGGGCUGGAAUAGGAGCUUGCUCCAUCCACUUCACAUAUCAACCAGAUGUUGCAGUACCUGUGGUAAUGGUGUACCCUUU